GUGUUAAGAAGCCCUCAUAAUGCAGAGGAGACAUACCUCCAGAAUGUAGCUGGGGUUCCGAUGCGGGUGCUCUCAACCUCAACCUUCUUUGAGCAGAAGUGGCUGGUUACUCGAGUAGAUGCCACGGCUGUUUGUCCAACACCAGAGGCAGUGGCCUUUACUCCAGAAGUGAUCACCUGGUACAUGCCCAAGCACAUAGACCCACUUUCUCCUCUGAUGCCUUCACCAUGUUGGAGGUGUACAUGGGAAUUGACGCUAAGAGGCUGGACACUGAGGAAAUGGCUGCCAGAAACUACUCGGUUUUAGUCACAGAGGCUCAUAUUAUUGUUGAAAUUCCGGUGGGGGCGGUUGGCGGCUACUUCAAGAGCCAUAUUCAGGAUGACCAGUACUUUGUCACUUACACCAUUGAGCCCAUGCUUGAGUUGCUGUGGAUCGAGGAGGUCGCACACGAGAACACCAGCUAUAAAGUCCUCUUCCCUAUCACAACACCUCCGAUGGCCAGGCCUCCACAAGUUCGCAACUACACGCCCUUAGACACAGUUCCUGAGCAGGCAGUGUUUGUGCUUGAGUUGGGGACCUUCAACCUUGAUGUGGAGCUGCUGAACAUCACCUUUCCCACCAUGGUGCUAACUGUUGCAGAGUGCAACGCCAGGGGCUUCAAUGUUCAAGAGCAGAGAUCCCCUGACAACACCUUGAAGACCUUCAGGAUGGAGGUGCCCUUCUCAGACCCGGUGGUCUUUAAGGAGAGAAGGGCGGAACAAGGUGUCACAACCUUCACUCUUCAGCUGAUCUACGGCCUGGUCAUCUUUCCAGAGUACGCUCCUUUCUCUCACUCUGCCGUUGUGGACGCUGUACUGCUGGACAUUGUGCCACCCUCAGUCACUGGCAACUGUGAUCAGGAGAACUUCCACAUCACUGUGGACUACAGGAACCAAGAGCCCUUUUUUGUGGUCUUGGUUGGCAAGCGGCUGCUUAACCAUGAGUUUGCUCAACAGUAUUUAACAGAGGGCGACACAGACUUCACCAUCACGUUGCCCUUCUCUUCGCCGGACGCAGUGUUUGAGUCGGUUCACUCGUCCUCUGUCAGGAGCAGACUGGAUGUGGCUCUGUUGAAUCCUUACAACAACAUGACCAUCAAAUACUUUUCCCUGGCUUGCAGCUUCCUCAAAACGCUGACUGAGUGUUUCUCUAACGGAACGAUGACUGCGCUGGCAGUGAAGGUGGAGUCUGCUCCCGGUCUGAACCCCGGUCAGCUGACCCUGAGCGACCCCGCCUGUGGUCCCACCUACAGUGACGAUCGCUUCGCCUACUUCCACUUCACUGUGAACUCCUGUGGCACCACCAGGAAGUUUAUCAACAAUGUCAUGCUGUAUGAGAACGAAAUCUCCUUGCCAGAUGAACUUGAGGUGAAGCUGAAUGCCACGACGUCUUCAGAGGAGGAAUAUCAGUUAAAGGUUUCCUGCUACUAUGUGGCCAACAUCACUCGCACAUUGGCCUUUCUGACCAGGCCGCGUGACAACGAGCCUUUUGCCGAGACUGGGACUGGUCGACUAAUGGUCAGAAUGAGACUCGCUCAGGACGCCUCGUAUAACACGUUCCACCAGGAGGAGGACUAUCCAGUGGUGAGGUACCUUAGACAGCCUCUGCACUUUGAGGUGGAGCUGACCACGUCCUCUGAUCCCAAGGUAGCGCUGGUGCUUGACCACUGCUGGGCCACCCUCAACGAGGACCGCGACUCCCGACCCCGGUGGAAUCUCAUCAUUAAUGGCUGUGAGAACCCCGAGGAUCCAUACCGUGUGGUCUUCCACCCGGUAGAAGCUGACGCCAGGGUCCACUUCCCCCCUCACGUCAAACGCUUUGAGGCCUAUAUGUUUUCCAUCGCCGAUGAUGCGGUUGAGCCGAGUGGCCAGGUCUUUGUCCAUUGUGAUGUGGUCAUCUGUGAUGCCAGUAGUCCCACUGGCGGCCCCUGUAGUGGACAAUGUGUGAAUCAGGACAACCUGAAAAGAGGUCAACGACAUGUCAAAGACCUCUUUGAGGAGCGUCAUGUAUAUGUUUCUUCUGGAUACAUUCUUUGGGUGUAAUGUAUUGUUCUAACAUGACAAAUAAAGUGUUCUAUAUAAAACAAUCCUAA